CUAAUUAUUAAAAUAACUGAUACAUGAUUGUCUAUCACGACUUUAAAUUAGACAAUACUCGUUAUAUUUACUGUUUAAAGCAAAUUGUACUCCGAUUGCUGUUCAAAUACUUCAUUUCAUAUUUGUCUUUUUAUAUUCAUUCGAUAUUUUAUUGUAAAGACAUGGAUGCUUCCUAUGCUUCGAUGAAGUCUUCCACAUCGAAGCUUAUCUUCAAGCCGUCCGCCAUCUUUAUCUCAGCACAUAAAACGUGUUGAUGGGAUAUGUGUCGUCAUAACAAUUGUUAUUUUCUGUUGGCUAAAAUAGUUGCCGCUCCGCUCGAUGGAACGGCAAAAGUUGAAAUAUCUUGAAGUUUAAAUUCCGUCGAAUAUCCUUCGUCCUUGACGGCAAAAAUGACGUCAUUUUCUCUUUCGUCGACGGUUUGGCUGCGUUCCUAAAAUCAGCAGCUUGCGAGCGAAAAAUGGCUAAAGGCGAACAGAGGACCUCAAACUCAUAAAGAUGACAACGAGCAAGUUAGCCAACACCUGAAAAUGUUGGUUUUAGGCAAGUCACAACAA
rnacentral:lncRNA from 1 species